rnacentral:pre_miRNA from 2 species
UUGUGGUGUCAUGGUCAUUGUUGACUGCUCAUAAGACCCCUUAUGCGGGGGUCGUAUAACGGUCAACAGAAGCCUUUGACAUCAAAGA